UACGGAGGGUGCAAGCGUUGCUCGGAAUCACUGGGCGUAAAGCGCACGUAGGCGGCUUUUUAAGUCAGAGGUGAAAUCCUGGAGCUCAACUCCAGAACUGCCUUUGAUACUGGAGAGCUUGAGUCCGGGAGAGGUGAGUGGAACUGCGAGUGUAGAGGUGAAAUUCGUAGAUAUUCGCAAGAACACCAGUGGCGAAGGCGGCUCACUGGCCCGGUACUGACGCUGAGGUGCGAAAGCGUGGGGAGCAAACAGG
rnacentral:rRNA from 1 species